rnacentral:rRNA from 1 species
AGCUGAUCACUGGGUGUAAAGGGUGCGCAGGCGGUUUUGUAAGACAGAGGUGAAAUCCCCGGGCUCAACCUGGGAACUGCCUUUGUGACUGCAAGGCUGGAGUGCGGCAGAGGGGGAUGGAAUUCCGCGUGUAGCAGUGAAAUGCGUAGAUAUGCGGAGGAACACCGAUGGCGAAGGCAAUCCCCUGGGCCUGCACUGACGCUCAUGCACGAAAGCGUGGGGAGCAAACA